AUUGAACGCUGGCGGCAGGCUUAACACAUGCAAGUCGAGCGGGGUGAUGGUGCUUGCACUAUCACUUAGCGGCGGACGGGUGAGUAAUGCUUAGGAAUCUGCCUAUUAGUGGGGGACAACAUCUCGAAAGGGAUGCUAAUACCGCAUACGUCCUACGGGAGAAAGCAGGGGAUCACUUGUGACCUUGCGCUAAUAGAUGAGCCUAAGUCGGAUUAGCUAGUUGGUGGGGUAAAGGCCUACCAAGGCGACGAUCUGUAGCGGGUCUGAGAGGAUGAUCCGCCACACUGGGACUGAAACACGGCCCAGACUCCUACGGGAGGCAGCAGUGGGGAAUAGUGGACAAUGGGGGGAACCCUGAUCCAGCCAUGCCGCGUGUGUGAAGAAGGCCUUAUGGUUGUAAAGCACUUUAAGCGAGGAGGAGGCUCUUUUGGUUAAUACCCAAGAUGAGUGGACGUUACUCGCAGAAUAAGCACCGGCUAACUCUGUGCCAGCAGCCGCGGUAA
rnacentral:rRNA from 1 species